rnacentral:rRNA from 1 species
CCUACGGGGUGCAGCAGUGAGGAAUAUUGGUCAAUGGACGAGAGUCUGAACCAGCCAAGUAGCGUGAAGGAUGACUGCCCUAUGGGUUGUAAACUUCUUUUAUAUGGGAAUAAAAUGUUCCACGUGUGGGAUUUUGUAUGUACCAUAUGAAUAAGGAUCGGCUAACUCCGUGCCAGCAGCCGCGGUAAUACGGAGGAUCCGAGCGUUAUCCGGAUUUAUUGGGUUUAAAGGGAGCGUAGGUGGAUUGUUAAGUCAGUUGUGAAAGUUUGCGGCUCAACCGUAAAAUUGCAGUUGAAACUGGCAGUCUUGAGUACAGUAGAGGUGGGCGGAAUUCGGGGUGUAGCGGUGAAAUGCUUAGAUAUCACGAAGAACUCCGAUUGCGAAGGCAGUUCACUGGACUGCAACUGACACUGAGGCUCGAAAGUGUGGGUAUCAAACAGGAUUAGAUACCCUAGUAGUC